rnacentral:rRNA from 1 species
GACGAACGCUGGCGGCGUGCUUAACACAUGCAAGUCGUACGGUAAGGCCCUUUCGGGGGUACACGAGUGGCGAACGGGUGAGUAACACGUGAGUAACCUGCCCACAACUUUGGGAUAACGCUAGGAAACUGGUGCUAAUACUGGAUAUGUGCUCCUGCUGCAUGGUGGGGGUUGGAAAGCUCCGGCGGUUGUGGAUGGACUCGCGGCCUAUCAGCUUGUUGGUGGGGUAGUGGCCUACCAAGGCGGCGACGGGUAGCCGGACUGAGAGGGUGACCGGCCACAUUGGGACUGAGAUACGGCCCAGACUCCUACGGGAGGCAGCAGUGGGGAAUAUUGCACAAUGGGCGCAAGCCUGAUGCAGCAACGCCGCGUGCGGGAUGACGGCCUUCGGGUUGUAAACCGCUUUCAGCAGGGACGAAGCUUUUUGUGACGGUACCUGCAGAAGAAGCACCGGCUAACUACGUG